AAUUGUUACUCGAUAAGUGGUUUAAAUUGUUCUCAUUGCAAUCUCGUAACCUCAAAUGAGGUCCGAGUUGUUAUUUCUUGUCACUACCUCCCUGAAUUAGGAUUGGGUAAUUUACGCGCCUGCUGCCUUCCUUAGAUGUGGUAGCCAUUUCUCAGGCUCCCUCUCCGGAAUCGAACCCUAAUUCCCCGUUACCCGUGAUCGCCAUGGUAGUCCAAUACACUACCAUCGAAAGCUGAUAGGGCAGAAACUUGAACGAUGUGUCGCAGUGAGACUGCGAUCCGCUCAGUUAUUAUGAAUCAUCACAACGCUCCAUUGCUGGAGUAUUGGUUUUAUAUCUAAUAAAUACAACCCUUCCGAAAAGUCAGGUUUGACAGCAUGUAUUAGCUCUAGAAUUACUACGGUUAUCCAUGUAGGGUGAAAUCAUCGAAUAAACUAUAACUGUUUUAAUGAGCCAUUCGCAGUUUCGCUGUAUAAUACUUAUACUUAGACAUGCAUGGCUUAGUCUUUAAGACAAGCAUAUGACUA
rnacentral:rRNA from 1 species